rnacentral:tRNA from 1 species
GGAGAGAUACUCAAGAGGUCGAAGAGGCUCCCCUGCUAAGGGAGUAGGGUUGUAACAGGCCGCGAGGGUUCGAAUCCCUCUCUCUCCGCCA